rnacentral:lncRNA from 1 species
CCCCGAAAGCAGCGGCAGCGGCGGGAAGGGGCUCCAAGGAGCAAAGAAGUUCCUUACUGUGAGGCUGCCAUGGCAGACGUUUUCUUUGGAAUAUACAAGUGGUGUUCCAGUGCGUAAACGUGGGAGGAUACAGGACAGGAGACCUGGAACGUCCGUGCCGUGAGAGACCGGCCGGUCCUCCUGCAGUCCUCUCACACCUGCAGGGUCAGAACAGGUGAACAGACUGAGACGGCUGUUGGUGUGCAGUCCCUGACAGGAGCAGCGGAAGAGCCUUAAGGAAGCGGGGCUCUCCCAGAAGAGAGAGGCACGCAAACACUGCUGCUGUAAAGCUCCUGGAGGGCCGUCCGCAGGCUGCGCUCCUCCUCGUCCUCGUCGUCGUCGUCCUCGUCCUCGUCGUCGUCCUGCUGCUGCUGCUGCUGCUCCUCCUCG